GGUGUCUUGCCCGAGUGGUUAAGGGGUUAGUCUUGAAAACUAAUGCUCUCUGAGCGCACAAGUUCAAAUCUUGUAGGCACCG